UGGCUCAGUGGUUAAGAGCACUGGCUGCUCUUUCAGAGGUCCUGGGUUCAAUUCCCAG
rnacentral:tRNA from 1 species